AGUUGGUUGUCACUUCUAAGUUGUGAAAUGUUGUGACUAUUUUGGGCUUUAAACAUUUGACAGAGGAAAUAAAAUUUAAAUAGCCAUUCAUAUUUCUAUCAAAGGUUUCUGGAAGCUGUAUUAGCCAUUUUCACAGCAUUUGAAACUCCAGAGAGGCAUGGGCAGACUAAAGGCCACACCUACCAUCCCUUAGCUAUGGGCCACAUUUAAGGAGAGUUUUGCACCUCCCCUUAUAGUUGCCUGGAGGUCUGUCAGGUUGUCUGAUAACCAAAUAUAUUAGAUCUAAACUGUUAUCUUGCUGCUGCUAAACUCCACACCCUUUCUUUUUCCCUUAUGAAAUUUGAAAAGGGCCACUUAAAAUCCCACCAAAAUGUCUUUGCAAAUGAGGUUUGCAAAUGGUUAACAAAAUUCAACCUAGCUACAUCUUGAUAUAGGAAGAUAUUGUUGUGGGGAAACAUUGUCAAAAACUCCUUGAGAUCUGAAAAUGAGAUGCUUUCAGGAAAGCUAAUGACUUCGUUUCUUCUUCCUUCAACAAGUACUGCAGUGUGGCACCAGUUGGUUUUUAAGGCUACAAGAUCUAUGUUCAGAAAGGCUUCCCACAUGGCAUCUAAUCAAUGUCAACAUUUUUCAGAGUUCCAGUGAAGCAUGGCCAUUCCAGGAGGCCCUGGUCUUGGACGAAUAUCAAGACAAGCAGGGUCAACAACCUGGAGAGUUUUCACUGCUAGAUGAGAUGCCCAGUAGGAGACUUUUUGUGCAUCAAAAGAGAGACAGCACAUGGUAUGCGCCUAGAGAGACUUUGCUGGCUUCUCCUCUACCAUAAGAUACUAUAUCGACAAGGUGGAAAUAUUGUUGACUUUUAUAUGCAUAGUAGCUGUGCCUGGCCACGCGUUGCUCUGGCGGGGUUUAUAUACCUGUGGAAGCAUGUCCAGGGUGGGAGAAAGAACUCUUUUCUGUUGGAGUGCCCCUGGUUUCAGCCCAGGUGCCAAAGAGGAUGCUGCCGCACCACAGACCAUUCGGAGGCCGCAGUAGGCCUUUGCGCCCGUGCACUCAGCAGGCCUUCAGACUAUCAGUCAAUAAAUUUCCUUUUGACUGUUUAAGCUACUCUACCAGUAACGACAUGCAGUGUGGAAAGAUCGUUUUUAACCAGGAAGAGAGUAAAAGGUGUAUCUAGAAGUUUAAUGAAAGACCAGAGAAUUAGUGGACUAGCAAUGGUUUCCAUCCAUCCUGACAUCAAACCAGAAAAAGUAAUUGACAAAAUGGCUGGGGAGAAGAAAAGAAGACUAUGGCUGUGAAGUUAAAAAAAAUAAGCCAACAAGUAUUCUAAACAUUUUGUUAAUGAAAGUAAAUAAAUAACAUUUAUUAUUUAAAAUGUUUAUUCAUAUCAUGAUCUGAUCACCAUGCUCAAUAUAUCCCAUACCCUUGGGGGUAUUGGGAUAAUGAUACAAAAGGUUUGCUAGCAUAAAUCCUCUCUCACUCAGACUCACCCCCCCCCCUCCUGAAUCAAAAUCCUGGCUACAGGCCUUUUUUCUUUGUGAUGGUCAGUCAUUGGGUAGUGAGGCAUUUUGUUGCCAAAUUUUGUGUUAUUUGCUCCAGUGGUUUUUGUUAAUUCGGUCCUACAAGCGAAAAGAACAUUUUUAUUCAUAUACAUUAUUACAUUUAUAUUAAUGGAGGGGCAGCCACAAUGGUCUGUCACAGCAAAGAUCUUUGUUCUAAUACUACUAAUACUACUAAUACUCUAAUACUAACGAAUUUAUGAUGCUUUAAUCCAGGGCAUCUUAAACUCUGGGUCCACACCCCAAAUGGGGCUCCCUUAGCUCAAUGUUGGGGUCCCAAAAAUAUUUUAUGAAUGCCACCUAGUGUCUGCUUUAGGUGUUUACAUGGAUUUGUUGUGAAGUGUUUACAGUGGACUUUGCAGAAGAACCUUCAGCUGUAUUCCAAAAAAAGGAAAAACAGCCUUCUUAGCAAGCCUUGCAAAUGCUAAUUUGUUAUCAGUAAAUGUUUAAUUUUUAUACCUAUUUUAUAUAUUUAUAGGCCUAGGAUCAUGUAAAAAGUUCUUGGGCCAAAAGGGGUCCUGAGUGGAAAAGUUUAAAAACCAUGCUCUAGUUUACUUCUUCACUCCAUGCCUCUGAUGAAAUUAACUUUAAUACACAUAUGUUUAUAUCACAAGACCCUUAACCAGACUAAAUAUAGAACAGUAUUGGGAUCAUCUGACAAGCAGGCAAAAGAGAUGUCAUGACAUAAUAUUAAAGGUGUGACUUCAUCUGAGCAAAGUAUGCUGGUUUGAUUGUUGGACUAUGAUUCUGAAGUUCAGAGUCCAAAUCUCUGCUCUUGCCAUGGAAACCUGCUGUGUAAAACCACAUGACAUGUUCACCUUAGGGUUGCCAUAAAUCUGAAAUGACAUGGAGAAACACAACAUCAACACUUGUAUUUUUACCUUUAAGUAAGGAUCUCCUGACAAGGACUGGGCUACAAUAGCCAACAGAAGCUUUACUCUCACAGCUAGCAGCUUCAGGGUGAACCAGAUAAACUAUUGUAUAUGAAACUAGGCCACCAAGCCCAGGCAUCCUCAAACUGAAGCCUUCCAGCUCCCAGAAGCCCCAACCAGUUUGUUCAAUUGUCAGGAAUUCUGGGAGUUAGAGGUCCAAACAGAUGUAUGAUUGUAGUUUGAGAAUGCCUGAUCUAGCCAAAAUACUGUACAAUCUGACUGGUGGUGGUUAUUCAUAGUUUCAGACAACUAAUUUUACCAUCCAAAUCUCUACCAUUUAAGAAAUGGCUUGAACAUUUCUGGAACCUGGUGAAACCAAAUGUGUUCUGAUUGAAAUGGUGAUACCAGUAGUGUGAGGUGGGGAGGAAUGGUUCUUCAUCAAAAUCAUGGCAAAGGGGAACCUUUAAAAAAAAACCAAUAGCAGUGUCAUUCAUAGGAGCUACAGCUUUGAUCUUUUCUCCAUUCUAUAGCUUUUAUUUCUAACAGAGGAGAAAACAUAGUUCUCAAAAUUCAUUCAAACAUUUUAAAUCGCAUCUGAAUCCAGCAAAUUUAAGUACACUGCUAAAUAUGCAGCCAUCCUUUAACAAAGCGGGGGUGGGGGGGGGCAAAAUGUAAGCAAUAGAAUCUUGUUCUUGUUCUCUCCAAAUUGUUCCCAAGACUCUACUACGGUCCUAUCUAACUCACUACUGGCCAAUAUUUUUGUCAAUAAAUUUAGUUGGAAGACACACUGUGUUCUGUGCUUUACAUCUAUUUAGAAAAUCAUCCAUUGUUUCUGUACAGUUUAUGCUGAAAGUAUAUAAUAGACAGAAGGCUUGUAAGACUAACAGAAAAGAUGGAGAAGAGAGUCAGCCUUACCAUUAAUAUAGCCUCAAACUUGACAAGGACGUAGUGAUUAUUCUGUGCCCUCAUGCUUUUUUAGUUGCUUUAAAAAUGGCUCUUCCA
rnacentral:lncRNA from 11 species